rnacentral:rRNA from 1 species
UCAAUAAGCGGAGGAAAAGAAACUAACAAGGAUUCCCCUAGUAACUGCGAGUGAAGCGGGAAAAGCUCAAAUUUAAAAUCUGGCGGUCUUUGGCCGUCCGAGUUGUAGUCUGGAGAAGUGCUUUCCGCGCUGGACCGUGUAUAAGUCUCUUGGAACAGAGCGUCAUAGAGGGUGAGAAUCCCGUCUUUGACACGGACUACCAGUGCUUUGUGAUGCGCUCUCAAAGAGUCGAGUUGUUUGGGAAUGCAGCUCAAAAUGGGUGGUGAAUUCCAUCUAAAGCUAAAUAUUGGCGAGAGACCGAUAGCGAACAAGUACCGUGAGGGAAAGAUGAAAAGCACUUUGGAAAGAGAGUUAAACAGUACGUGAAAUUGCUGAAAGGGAAACGCUUGAAGUCAGUCGCGUUGUCCGGAACUCAGCCUUGCUUUUGCUUGGUGCACUUUCCGGAUGACGGGUCAGCAUCGAUUUUGACCGUCGGAAAAGGGCUGGAGUAAUGUGGCACCUCCGGGUGUGUUAUAGACUCUGGUCGCAUACGGCGGUUGGGAUCGAGGAACGCAGCGCGCCGCAAGGCAGGGGUUCGCCCACUUUCGCGCUUAGGAUGCUGGCAUAAUGGCUUUAAACGACCCGUCUUGAAACACGGACCAAGGAGUCUAACACACCUGCGAGUGUUUGGGUGGAAAACCCGAGCGCGUAAUGAAAGUGAAAGUUGAGAUCCCUGUCGUGGGGAGCAUCGACGCCCGGACCAGACGUUCUCUGACGGAUCCGCGGUAGAGCAUGUAUGUUGGGACCCGAAAGAUGGUGAACUAUGCCUGAAUAGGGUGAAGCCAGAGGAAACUCUGGUGGAGGCUCGUAGCGAUUCUGACGUGCAAAUCGAUCGUCAAAUUUGGGUAUAGGGGCGAAAGACUAAUCGAACCAUCUAGUAGCUGGUUCC